CCUACGGGCGGCAGCAGUGAGGAAUAUUGGUCAAUGGGCGUAAGCCUGAACCAGCCAAGUCGCGUGAGGGAUGAAGGCUCUAUGGAUCGUAAACCUCUUUUAUAAGGGAAUAAAGUGCGGGACGUGUCCCGUUUUGUAUGUACCUUAUGAAUAAGGAUCGGCUAACUCCGUGCCAGCAGCCGCGGUAAUACGGAGGAUCCGAGCGUUAUCCGGAUUUAUUGGGUUUUAAGGGUGCGUAGGCGGCGUUUUAAGUCAGCGGUGAAAGUCUGUGGCUCAACCAUAGAAUUGCCGUUGAGACUGGGAGGCUUGAGUAUGUUAGAGGGAGGCGGAAUGCGUGGUGUAGCGGUGAAAUGCUUAGAUAUCACGCAGAACCCCGAUUGCGAAGGCAGCCUG
rnacentral:rRNA from 1 species